GGCUGCCCUAGUCCUAUUUUGUCAGGGUUAUGGACAGAAGAGCACCUAAGGAUGCAGUCCCCGGUGCAAUGAAGAUGGCCCUGGGUACACAGAAUGGAUCAAAUUCAGCCCCAGGUGCUGUAUUUUUAAGACCUUACUGUCCUCCAUCUUCUGGAAGAUUGGAGGAAGAAGAGGAAAGGUGAACCUGGCAGAAUACUUACCUACUUAUCUCUGUGUGGAUAAAGGCACAUGAUAAAGAGACCUUGCCCCUCUCCAUUGACUGUAGCAACUCUGGAAAGCAAUGCAAAGGCCGGGGAGUGUGAAAGAAGGGAGGCUCUAGCACGACAAAAAUGUGUUCUUCAGUCUUGACAUAUUUGAUAAGCUGGGUUUAAGUAAAUCAAUAAAGCACAGUAGUUCCACUUUGUAGUUUUGCUUCCCAAGUUUUCAGUUAUCCUCAGCCUACCACAAUCCAAA
rnacentral:lncRNA from 1 species